rnacentral:rRNA from 1 species
CUACCCUUGACAUGUCUGGAAUCCUGAAGAGAUUUGGGAGUGCUCGAAAGAGAGCCAGAACACAGGUGCUGCAUGGCCGUCGUCAGCUCGUGUCGUGAGAUGUUGGGUUAAGUCCCGCAACGAGCGCAACCCUUGUCAUUAGUUGCUACGAAAGGGCACUCUAAUGAGACUGCCGGUGACAAACCGGAGGAAGGUGGGGAUGACGUCAGGUCAUCAUGGCCCUUAUGGGCAGGGCUACACACGUCAUACAAUGGCCGGUACAGAGGGCUGCCAACCCGCGAGGGGGAGCCAAUCCCAGAAAACCGGUCGUAGUCCGGAUCGUAGUCUGCAACUCGACUGCGUGAAGUCGGAAUCGCUAGUAAUCGCGGAUCAGCUUGCCGCGGUGAAUACGUUCCC